GACCACACCACGUUGAAACAACGCUUCUCGUAAGAUCACUGAAGUUAAGCAACUUCAAACCUGAUCAGUACCUAGAUUGGUGACGUUAUAGGAAUACCAAGUGCUGUAAG